rnacentral:rRNA from 1 species
ACGAACGCUGGCGGCGUGCUUAACACCUGCAAGUCGCACGGAAAGGCCCUGCUUGCAGGGUACUCGAGUGGCGAACGGGUGAGUAACACGUGGGUGAUCUGCCCUGCACUUCGGGAUAAGCCUGGGAAACUGGGUCUAAUACCGGAUAGGAGCCAUUUUUAGUGUGAUGGUUGGAAAGUUUUUUCGGUGUAGGAUGAGCUCGCGGCCUAUCAGCUUGUUGGUGGGGUAAUGGCCUACCAAGGCGGCGACGGGUAGCCGGCCUGAGAGGGUGGACGGCCACAUUGGGACUGAGAUACGGCCCAGACUCCUACGGGAGGCAGCAGUGGGGAAUAUUGCACAAUGGGCGCAAGCCUGAUGCAGCGACGCCGCGUGGGGGAUGACGGACUUCGGGUUGUAAACUCCUUUCGCUAGGGACGAAGCUUUUUGUGACGGUACCUAGAUAAGAAGCACCGGCUAACUACGUG